rnacentral:tRNA from 1 species
AACUGGAUAGCUCAAGUGGCAGAGCGUUGAUUAUUAUAAUCAAGAGAUGUAGGUUCGAUUCCUGCUCCAGUUC